GAUGAAGAACGCAGCGAAAUGCGAUAAGUAGUGUGAAUUGCAGAAUUCCGUGAAUCAUCGAAUCUUUGAACGCACAUUGCGCCUUCUGGUAUUCCGGAAGGCAUGCCUGUUCGAGAGUCAUUAACAACCGUUUCGAUCCCUUUCUUUCAGAAAUUACAAAGAGGAAAAGGGUUUGGUUAUGGUGGAGGUGGGAAAGGGAGCGUUUAGCCUGUAAAAAAAGAGGCUGUGUUCCGCCUCCCCCCCAAAAUUGUACAGGCGGUCGUGUGCGCCCACGCAUCGAGGUGUUGUAAAAGCUGCCACGGCACUUUUCACCUGUGCAGUGCGAGAUUGGCCAGCCGGUUUAAAAACCCCUCCAAACAAUCAAAGGUUGACCUCGGAUCAGGUAGGGAUACCCGCUGAACUUAAGCAUAUCAAUAAGCGGAGGA
rnacentral:misc_RNA from 1 species